rnacentral:rRNA from 1 species
GACAGAGGAUGCAAGCGUUAUCCGGAAUGAUUGGGCGUAAAGCGUCUGUAGGUGGCUUUUUAAGUUCGCCGUCAAAUCCCAGGGCUCAACCCUGGACAGGCGGUGGAAACUACCAAGCUGGAGUACGGUAGGGGCAGAGGGAAUUUCCGGUGGAGCGGUGAAAUGCGUAGAUAUCUGGAGGAACACCGGUGGCGAAGGCGGCAUCCUGGACCGACACUGACGCUGAGGAGCGAAAGCCAGGGGAGCAAACGGG